GUGUGUGUGUAUACAUGUGUGUAUAUAUAUGUGUAUAUAUACAUAUAUAUACAUAUACAUUAUAUAUAUACAUAUAUGCAUAUAUACACACACACACAUAUAUAUAUACAUAUGUGUGUAU
rnacentral:miRNA from 1 species